rnacentral:tRNA from 2 species
GGUUCCAUGGUGUAAUGGUGAGCACUCUGGACUCUGAAUCCAGCGAUCCGAGUUCGAAUCUCGGUGGGACCU